AGCGAACGCUGGCGGCAGGCUUAACACAUGCAAGUCGAGCGGGCUUCCUUGUGGUGUCAGCGGCAGACGGGUGAGUAACGCGUGGGAACGUGCCCUUCGGUUCGGAAUAACUCAGGGAAACUUGAGCUAAUACCGGAUACGUGCGAGAGCAGAAAGGUUUAUCUGCCGAAGGAUCGGCCCGCGUCUGAUUAGCUAGUUGGUGAGGUUACGGCUCACCAAGGCGACGAUCAGUAGCUGGUCUGAGAGGAUGAUCAGCCACACUGGGACUGAGACACGGCCCAGACUCCUACGGGAAGCAGCAGUGGGGAAUAUUGGACAAUGGGGGCAACCCUGAUCCAGCCAUGCCGCGUGAGUGAUGACGGCCUUAGGGUUGUAAAGCUCUUUUCUCCGGGACGAUAAUGACGGUACCGGAGGAAUAAGCCCCGGCUAACUUCGUG
rnacentral:rRNA from 1 species